AGUGGAAGAGCACUUGCCUACAAUGCACAAGGUCCUGGGUUCAAUUCGACACUACCAACCAACAACAGCAAAAACUAAAGGCUUCUCAGAUAGCUGCAGAAGUACAGAAAAUGCAGAGCAUGGCGAAGCUGAGCUGUAAUUCAGAAGCCAGGUGGAUGCUCUGACAUCUCUGACAUCUGCAGUCUUGCCAGUGAAUAGAAGGAUGUACGCCAUCCUUGGAACAUUAUUUCACAAGUUCAAGAAAGUGCCAGCAUAGAAUCUCUGAAAACCACUAGAAGCUCCUGGGAAGAAAAUUUCGCAGCUGAGAGUCAGGCCUUCAAAAGGGCUGUUUCCCUAGAAAUUUCAAUGGGUGCAGAAAACCACUGUCACUGAUCACUCGGUGUCAGAGUGAACCAAAGGAGUUUUGCUUUCAAAAUGGAAAAGCCUUUGAAAAUGCCUUCUUCAAGCUAUGGUUUCCUUCUUAUGCCCGCAUGAGGAUGAUUCUUGAAAAGGAUGCAGCAGUUAAAGUGUAGGACAAACUCUUUCCUCAAGAAUGGAGUCAAUGUAUCAAUGAUAAGAACCCAUAAAGUUAUUGUUUAAAUUUUAA
rnacentral:lncRNA from 1 species